AUAAAAUAGAUAUACGAAUAAUAAUAAAAUUAAGUAAGAUAAAAUAAAAUUAGAAUUUUCAAUGUAAAUAUAUGUAUAAAUUUGGCUUUGGUUGCCAUGGGGACAGGGGCCUCCGGCAGCCAUUAUCAUUUUUUUUUUUUUUAUUUUAGAAUCUGUUAAUACAUUAUAAUCAUGGGAUAGUUAUCGUUUAGUUUAUAGAAUGAAUACUCUUAGAUAGAAGUAGCUUUAUUCAGAUUUGUGAUUUCUUUUUUGAUAUUUUUUGUUUUUCCUAUUUUUGGUAGUUAGGAUUUUUUUUUUAGAAUUUUUUAUCACUGGCUUGGAUGGGGGAUAUUGUUACAAGGAAGGCUUUGGGUAACAAUAUUGUGGCGAAUGUAACCCCAUCUUUGAUGGGAUGGGUCAAUAAGGUUUUGUCAUUAUAACCAUAUAAUAUGUUGUUUAUAAAUAAGAUUUAUUGAUUUCAUUAUACAUGUUUUUCAUUGUGUUGCUUCUUCGUCAUUUUAAUAAUAAAUGACAGUUUUCAAUUCUUAAAUAUUUGUUUGUUUGUCAUUCUUUCAUCCCAUCAAACAGAGCAAGCCUGUGUUGACAAAAAUGCUAAUUUUUAUUAAAAAUGAUUUUUUGGCAAACUAGGCGGUACUAUGGAAAGCGGCAUAACUCUUUGUUCUUAUUUGGUAGAAACGCAAAUACCAAGUUAUUCCUUCCCCUGAUCAUGUUAUAUGAUCUCAGAAGGCGCUUCAGUUGCAGUUAGAAGUGGCAGGAAAAUUUUGGAACUAAAAAUUAUACCCACCAUCCCUCCCUGGAUAGCUAAUUCGGAUUUUGUCAUGAUGUUUGAACCAAUUUAAAUUGAAAUAUUUUAAUUUUGUUUAAUAAUGAAUAUUGUGUAUUCAUGUUUUAUUUGGUUUAACAAUAUGUCAGUGUUUAUAUUCGAAUGUAACACCAUCUCUGAUGGGCGAAUGUAACCCCAUCUUUGAUGGGAUGGGUCAAUAAGGUUUUGUCAUUAUAACCAUAUAAUAUGUUGUUUAUAAAUAAGAUUUAUUGAUUUCAUUAUACAUGUUUUUUCAUUGUGUUGCUUCUUCGUCAUUUUAAUAAUAAAUGACAGUUUUCAAUUCUUAAAUAUUUGUUUGUUUGUCAUUCUUUCAUCCCAUCAAACAGAGCAAGCCUGUGUUGACAAAAAAGUUAUUGUCUGUUUUC
rnacentral:lncRNA from 1 species